rnacentral:rRNA from 1 species
CGUAGGGGGCUAGCGUUGUCCGGAAUCGAUUGGGCGUAAAGAGCGUGUAGGCGGCCCGGUAAGUCGCUGUAAAAGUCAAAGGCUCAACCUUUGAAUGUCAGUGGAUACUGCCGGCUAGAGUCCGGAAGAGGCGAGUGGAACUCCUGGUGUAGCGGUGGAAUGCGCAGAUAUCAGGAAGAACACCGACGGCGAAGGCAGCUCCGCUGGGACGGUACUGACGCUGAGACGCGAAAGCGUGGGGAGCGAACAGGAUAGAUACCCUGGUAGUCCACGCCGUAAACGAUGGGCACUAGGUGUGGGAGGUGUCGACUCCUCCCGUGCCGGCGCUAACGCAUUAAGUGCCCCGCCUGGGGAGUACGGCCGCAAGGCUA